rnacentral:rRNA from 2 species
CUAUACAUGCAGUCGAGCGGACAGAUGGGAGCUUGCUCCCUGAUGUUAGCGGCGGACGGGUGAGUAACACGUGGGUAACCUGCCUGUAAGACUGGGAUAACUCCGGGAAACCGGGGCUAAUACCGGAUGGUUGUUUGAACCGCAUGGUUCAAACAUAAAAGGUGGCUUCGGCUACCACUUACAGAUGGACCCGCGGCGCAUUAGCUAGUUGGUGAGGUAACGGCUCACCAAGGCAACGAUGCGUAGCCGACCUGAGAGGGUGAUCGGCCACACUGGGACUGAGACACGGCCCAGACUCCUACGGGAGGCAGCAGUAGGGAAUCUUCCGCAAUGGACGAAAGUCUGACGGAGCAACGCCGCGUGAGUGAUGAAGGUUUUCGGAUCGUAAAGCUCUGUUGUUAGGGAAGAACAAGUACCGUUCGAAUAGGGCGGUACCUUGACGGUACCUAACCAGAAAGCCACGGCUAACUACGUGCCAGCAGCCGCGGUAAUACGUAGGUGGCAAGCGUUGUCCGGAAUUAUUGGGCGUAAAGGGCUCGCAGGCGGUUUCUUAAGUCUGAUGUGAAAGCCCCCGGCUCAACCGGGGAGGGUCAUUGGAAACUGGGGAACUUGAGUGCAGAAGAGGAGAGUGGAAUUCCACGUGUAGCGGUGAAAUGCGUAGAGAUGUGGAGGAACACCAGUGGCGAAGGCGACUCUCUGGUCUGUAACUGACGCUGAGGAGCGAAAGCGUGGGGAGCGAACAGGAUUAGAUACCCUGGUAGUCCACGCCGUAAACGAUGAGUGCUA